CUUCUUCUUCUUCUUCUUUGUCUUUCUUCUUCUUCUUCUUUGUCUUUCUUCUUCUUCUUCUUCUUCUUCUUCUUUCUUCUUCUUCUUUGUCUUUCUUCUUCGUCUUUCUUCUUCUUCUUUGUCUUUCGUCUUCUUUCUUCUUCUUCUUCUUCUUCUUCUUCUUUCUUCUUCUUCUUCUUCUUCUUUCUUCUUCUUCUUUCUUCUUCUUCUUCUUUCUUCUUCUUUCUUCUUCUUCUUCUUUCUUCUUCUUCUUUCUUCUUCUUUCUUCUUCUUCUGUCUUCUUCUUCUUUCUUCUUCUUUCUUCUUCUUCUUCUUUCUUCUUCUUCUUCUUUUUCUUCUUCUUUCUUCUUCUUUCUUCUUCUUCUUCUUCUUUUUCUUCUUUCUUCUUUUUCUUCUUCUUCUUCUUUCUUCUUCUUCUUUCUUCUUCUUUCUUCUUCUUCUUUCUUCUUCUUUCUUCUUCUUCUUUUUCUUUUUCUUUUUCUUCUUCUUCUUCUUCUUCUUCUUCUGUCUUCUUCUUCUUUCUUCUUCUUCUUCUUCUUCUUCUUCUUCUUCUUCUUCUUCUUCUUCUUCUUCUUCUUCUUCUUCUUCUUCUUCUUCUUCUGUCUUCUUCUUCUUCUCCUUCUACUCCUCCUCCUCCUCCUUCUCCUCCUCCUCCUUCUUUUGUUUGAUAGCUUUGGAAUUUGGCAAUUACAUUCCUGGGAGUUGUCUUUUGGGGGUUUAGUGUAGAAGGUGUUCUGUGAGCUCUGUCAGUGGCUGUAUUGCCCCCUUGUUCUAGAAUCUCUGGGCAAUUUUCUUUGAUUAUAUCUUGUAUCACCAUGUCCAGUUUGGUGUUUAUUUCUGGCUUUUCUGGGAGUCCAAUUAUUCUUAAAUUAUCCCUUCUCCCCCUAUUUUCCAGAUCUAUCACCUUGUCGGUGAGAUAUUUUAUGUUCUCUUCUAAUUUCUUGGUAUUUUGGCUUUGCUUUAUUGAUUCUUGCUCUUUUACACGAUCGUUGUCUUCCAGCUGCCUGAUUCUGGCCUUUAAAGCCUGGUUUUCUUUUACAGUUUGGUCAAACUGGUUUUGUAGAUGCGUGAAUUUCUUUUGCAUUAUUUCCAACUUUUCCUCCCUGAAGGCUUCCAUCUUUUUGGUCAUUUCUGAUUCAAAUUCUUCAUAGGUUUGUGGAGAGUUUCCAUUUCCUUUGGAAGGUUUUGGAGCAUUUUCUUUUAUAUUAUCUUCUGUCUGCUCUGUAUUUUGUAUUUUGGCUCCAUAGAAUGUGUCCAAAGUCGCCCCUUUCUUCUUAUUUUUCUUGGUAUUUUGGGGCUUCUGUGGUUCUGUGGAGUUUGCCAUUUCUGAAUGUGGAGGAUUAGUUUUUCUUGUCUCUGUCUGGUGUUCAGAGGCAGUCCUGGGCAGAUGGUUCUAUGAGCUUUCCCUGGGUUAAACUGAAUAUGCCUCACUGGAACUGGAAUGGAAGGGUCAGACCACGAGGCCACACUCUCCCCCCGGCUCGCUUUCCGGAAGUUGCCUUCAGAAUCGCUGGCCGUGAGGCUGUUUCGUCAGCCUGCAGGGGGAUGGGCUGCAGCUAGCCCAAGCUCUGAGGGCGAGGACUUUCACUGAGACUUGGAUAGCAGGAUCCAGCCCGUGAGGCUGUCUUGCCCGCCCUGAGGGUUGCUGUUGUUUCGACCAGCUCUCUGCAGAGGAAGCCCCAGGCAGUAACUUUCACCGGGACUGUAGAAGGCCUGAGGGUUCUGC
ensembl:lncRNA